ensembl:lncRNA
GAUCAGAAGCAAGAUAAGGGAGCUCACUCCCUCCCCAAUUAUUCAGUCGAUCAGCUUAUAUUAUUUUAUUGUAAUUUUAAGUGUCAAUGGGUUUGUUCAAAGUUUCCACAAAGGGCUGUCUGAAGGGCUCAGCUGCAGUUUGAACCAGCCAACCCCUGCAAGCAGAGAAAAAUAUACAACACUUCUUGUGGCAAAAGGCUUCGUCGCGUUUUUUCAACGGCGAAGGGCGGGGGAGAAACAGAAUGUCGAUACUUGGAGCAACACUGCCACCUGCAGGUCACAGAAACCAGAACGCCACAAGGCCGAAAGAAAACCCAUCCUUUCUGUUGGGUUUUCGCGCAGACAGCGCGGAUGCGGAAGUUGAGGGGAAUGCCCAUUAGGACCAGAGAAAGGAAGGUGCCUUCUCGAAGGGGCCCGGCCAAACCACCCGUGGACCGCCCGCGAAACCAAGGCAACACAGGCAGGAGGUCAGGGAAUCCCGGAAAUCCGGAGCUUGGUGGGCCCAGCUGCGCUCCAAUUGGCUGGUUCUGGGCCUGCGCGCAGGAACCCAGUGAACCCUGCGCCAGUCUCCUGGCCCGGGUCGGUUGGGAGUUUUCUCCUGGACCCUGUAUGAAAGUCUUCAUUCACUGAGCAACCUGACCGGGCCUGUGAACGCGUUCCUCCCGUGGUACACUCACUGUUCUCUCAGCCCUCACUCUUCUGAUCCGUCCUCAGUGCCCACGAGGCUCACCCGGUCAUCCUGGAGACUCUCCGUUCUCUUCGAUGUUCCCCUCCUCCUCACCUGAGCAUCCCCCUGCCCAUGGUCCCGCCCGGGGCAUCAGGAACGACCGCGCCCCUCAUGGUGUCCUGUUUCUAGCCUUCCUCCCUCUCAUCACCCUCAACAUGAUGUCCUGUCCUCCAGCUCCCUUGCUCUAGUGCCAGUGCACUGAUACCAGAACCUCCUGGAAACCCCCACCUCACUUACCACACGUCCUUCAACAC